UAGGGAAUUUUCGUCAAUGGGCGCAAGCCUGAACGAGCGAUGCCGCGUGAGUGAAGAAGGCCUUCGGGUCGUAAAGCUCUGUUGCGGGGGGAAAAAAGGGCAGCAUCAGGAAAUGGGUGCUGACUGAUGGUGCCCCGCCAGAAAGUCACGGCUAACUACGUGCCAGCAGCCGCGUAAUAGCACGCU
rnacentral:rRNA from 1 species